rnacentral:rRNA from 1 species
UACAGAGGGUCCCAAGCGUUGUUCGGAUUCACUGGGCGUAAAGGGUGCGUAGGUGGUCAGGUAAGUCUGAUGUGAAAUCUCUGGGCUUAACCCAGAAACUGCAUUGGAUACUAUCUGGCUAGAGGAGUGGAGGGGGGACUGGAAUACUUGGUGGUAGCAGUGAAAUGCGUAGAUAUCAAGUGGAACACCAGUGGCGAAGGCGAGUCCCUGGACACUUCCGUGACACUGAGGCACGAAAGCUAGGGGAGCAAACAGG